rnacentral:rRNA from 1 species
UACAGAGGUCUCGAGCGUUGUUCGGAUUCAUUGGGCGUAAAGGGCGCGUAGGCGGCGGGGUAAGUCUGGUGUGAAAUCUAGGAGCUCAACUCCUAAACUGCACUGGAUACUGCUCUGCUAGAGGACUGGAGAGGAGACUGGAAUUCACGGUGUAGCAGUGAAAUGCGCAGAUAUCGGGAGGAACACCGGUGGCGAAGGCGGUUCUCUGGGCCUGUGCUGACGCUGAGGAGCGAAAGCGUGGGGAGCGAACAGG